rnacentral:lncRNA from 1 species
UGUCAAUUGGGAGUUCCUCUAGGGAUGCCAACUGGAGCCACGUGACUUCUUCGCAUGGCUUUGGGCAUCCCACAACAUGGAAGCUGGGCUCCAAAAGGACUCAUCCUUUUGUAGGAGGUGAGCAUUCCAAAAGAAAGUUGCCCAGCCCUCUAAUAUUCAGGUUUCGUCCUCAUGUACCUCUUCUCCUGCAUGCUGUUGAUUACCCCAUAGGUAGAGAGAAGAGGAAUACUUUCUAACUCUUGAUGAGACUAUCAGCAUGAACAUUUAGAGCGGGAAAAAUGCAGGCCAUGUUUGAAUUCACAUUCCCAUGAACGGUUCCACCUUUGGUAGGUAGAGAAGCUAUAGAUAAUGACCAUUUACGAAUGCUCUUAACAUCUUACUGCUAGGGAACACAUGGUCAUCUAGUCGAUGCCAAAUGUUCCCUGGUGAUACAAAGCCAAAACAUAUCAGAAGCAGGUGAAAGAUAGAGGGCUUUUUGGAGGAAGGGAGUUUUUAAGCCUCAUCUGACGCAGAGGGCAUAUACCCAGAGUAUAUACUCAAAGGUGAUAAUGCCCUGCUUCUGAGUACACAAUACAUGCAACCCAGACAAUAAUCCAUGAAGUGGUAUUUUUCAAUGUUGAUGUCUUGAGCAUAGAAAAAGCAGCAAGCAUGUCUUUGUGUCUCAGUGUUCCUGUAGACACGCUGUAUGAAUAAUAACAAAUGCUCUUUUCAGCUUUUGUUCCAGGGUCUAUUUUAUAAAUUCCUAUGCAUGAAUCUUGCUCAAAGCCUCAAUGGUAACCCACUCAUGGAUUUGUGACAGAGGGUGGAGGAGAUAACUGAGUGUUCAUUACAUGGGAUCCUUGCUGAAUAACGUUUGAAUACAGAGCUUGUCUAAUGACUGAAACUAAGUCAGGGUAUUAUAAAAUACAGUGUAGUCAUAGCAAACGAAAACAAAAAAAGCUCUGUAGAUGCUAAGAGUGUGGGUGCCAGAAAACAGGGCCAUAGGCUUCAAACUUGAAAGCACAGAGCUAAGAGUAUGAAAGAGAAUAGAAUAUAGAGAUCAUGGAAAAACCAUGAUCUCCCCUUGGAAUGCCAAGGAGGUUAAGCUAGGAAAGAAGUUCAGAUAGUGAAGAGUUAUGGGCCCUGUGAAGGGACACUCAGGCCUGCUGUAAAUGUUAAGGCUUUGCUGAGAUCAGAUCGGACGAUGGUUAGAGGAAACUGUUCAUCAUACACCCAAGAGGUACACUCCUCCGGUGUUGGUUUAGCAAGCUGUAUCCGUACUCUUUGGUGUUUUUACCCCCCCUCCACACACACUUUGAUGCACAGCCUUUGUUCACAAUCCUAAUAAAAGAUAGACCCUGAGUUUCCUUGGGGCUCUUGCUGGCUACAGCAUUAGUCAUUUCUUUGUCGUCUUCAAGUUGAUCUUGUCACAUAUGAUCACAAGAGUUUCUUUUAUGGGGAAAGUUUUGGACAGUGCACUGUUGCGUAUAUUCUCAUAGAGAUUCCAUAGCAUUAUUUAAAAUUCAUGGCCUGAGGUUGCAGUGAGUACAGAUUUAGCAUUCACAGGAGAUAGGACAGAGCUGGAAUAUGGAGCGGAUGUUAUAUAAGCAACCAUGAUUUUGGAAACAGCCAGCUAGGGCAAAGAAUAGAAGGGGAGGAAAAACGAGGAAGUGAGUAAAGUUACCCAUGGUGGCUGCUUUCAUGCAGAUUCAAUCCCCAUUUUGAUUUAAGAACCGGAUGAUCUACCCACAGAAAGGGUAAGAAGUUUCUAAUGCUUUAUUACAUACAGGAAGUUAGCUUUUUCAGAACAGCUGUGGGAGUUCCCAUUGUGUCUCUGUGGUAACAAACCUGAGUGUAGUAUCCAUGAGGACAUGGAUUCCAUCCCUGGUCCCAUUCAUUGGGUUAAGGAUCUGGCUUUACCAGAAGCUGCAGUGCAUGUUGCCUGUGUGGCUCAGAUCCUGCGUUGCUCUUGUGUAGGAAACAGCUACAGGUCCAAUGCAAGCCCUAGACUGGGAGUUUGGAUAUGCUGUGGUUGUGGCCCGAAAGAGACAAAAAAAACAAAACCACACAACUACAUGACCAGUGCUAAGGGCCUUUGAGGUCUAACUGAAAGAGGAUUCCACUGAAACACGUUACUCCAAAGGAAAGAUACUGGACCGAAAUACUCAUUUCCUCGUUUGCAAAAUGGAAAUAAUAAUGGUUGCUGGCUCAAGAGAUUUGUGUGAGCCUCUGAGGAGGUAAUAUAUUUGCAGUGUGCCUGACACAGGAGGAGUACCUAGGCAUGGUCAGCUAUUUUUAUGUCAUCCUCACCAAUAAAAAAAUAAUGUAACACCUUUAAAAAACUAAAGAUAAUAUUCGGAGUAGUAACCCAAGAAUCUUCAAGAUGUUAUUUGCUAUGUAAUUUGAAUUAAGGGGGAAAAAUACCCCAAAAUGCCCGUUUUGUGAUUGGCAAGCUUCUGGAACAUUGGUUGGAAAUCGUUCAGCCCUGAAAAUCCAAGUGGCCACCACUGCAGCCUCAUUAGUCAUUCCCUCUUUUAUAACAUGAUACUCAUUGGCGUUCCAUGGUUAGAAUUACCCAUCAUUUACUGAUGUUAUGGAGCAAUAAUAAUGCUUUCUUUGAUUUCCUUUGUGACAUUUCAUUCAUUGAAAUACACGGGGAAGACAAAGGCUAAUGAUUGGACACACUCUUCCAAGUCUUUUAGGCCAAUUACAAAGGACAAAGUACCCAGUGACAAAGAGAUUUUUUAUUUUUUCUUUUGUAAAAUGUUCACGCAUUGGUGAGGGGAAUACGCAGCGUAUGUUACACACCUGAGAUGAAGAUAUCUACCCUAUUUGACAAUUUUUCUGACUAUGCCUCUCCUUAUUUCCCUUUUGAUAUCUUUGUUCCAAAGGCUAUGUAGACCAAAAGGUUUAACAGGGGACUCACAAAGAUAUAGAAAACAGCUAGCAUUUUGCCUUGUUCUACGGAUGCUUCAGAAGGAGGCCCCCGAUAUAUGCAGAAGAGCAUCCAUAAAAAAGAGUGACAGCCUGCAGAUGGGACCCAGAGCUGGAAAAAGCCUCGGGCCUCCCUUCAACAGAGCUGUUACGCAGAACGGCUGUGAAAAUAAAAACGUCGGAGGUGAGGACGAGGACAAUGGUGUGAGAGAACAGCAGAGGUUGAAACCAGCUACUGCGAACAUGGCAGUCGUGUUUUCAUACAUAUCUGAGCAGGGAAGGAUGAAGAGAGGUGGAUCAGCACAAUACAAGCAGUUGAUUUCAUUGGGUCCCAGGAAGGAGAGACAGGGUAUCAGGAUGGUCUGGGCUCGACCAGUUACAAAGCCAUGACUAUAAUGGUAGCCGUGAGAGAGAGGCAGAAACUUUGGGACAUGUUGCUCUCAUAGAGCAAGGGUUGGCAAACAGCCAUGGUCAGAAGCCAUGACUGUGAUCACGUCAUCUGUGGUUUGUAGGAGCCAUCGUGUGAUCUCCAGGAUGAUGAAUGAAAAAGUGGAACUGGAUAGAGCAACCAAGAAAGGAAAUUUGUUUUCCCUUCCCUUGGAUAAGUAACGCACCAGCAUCUGAGGGGUGACCUUCGUGGCAUGACACAGACCUACAAAGCAGAGGUAGGUGGCUGAGGAAGAAGCACACUGGAGUGUGAAGCGUUGAGUCACUGUGCAUUAGCAGACUGGUAGGGACAUUGCCAAUUACUAAGGUAAGGUAGAUGACGAGGCAUACCACCAGCAGGACAGGCUGCACCUCAGCUACAUCUGUCAGUCCCGGAAGCCUCCACUUGGUCAUCACCUCUGAGUAGUUGUCCUUUUCACAUUGUUUGCGUCCCUUGCAAUGAGGUCUGAAGUAAAGGAAAUAUGCCUGCAUUUGUCUUUAGUCUUUUUGCUGCUACUCCCAUCAUGGCAUUUGCUACUUAGCAUGUGAUAGAUGUUUUCAAUAUCUAACGUAAUGUAGAGAUCCUUUAUAUAAAAGCAGUCAUUUUUAAAUGCUUUUCUGCAAGACUUUUCACAUUGGAAAAACCUUUGUCUUUUCUGCAGAUGUCAUUAUAUACAUUGUUGACUUAGGGUCCCUUUAAACAUUGCUCUUCUUUGAAUAUAUGAUCCUAUGUGUUUUAACAUGCCUUUUGAUGUGGUAUCUAAAGUGUCCGUCCUUGAGGUUCAGGGGCUUUCACAGCUGAGUGACGGUAAAGGAAGUGGAACUGAGAUAUGCACAGAUUCUCUUAGAAGCAGAGUGUGUCUAUGUGCCCCUCUAAACUCAAGGUCAUUUUCAAGGGGGCCUCUCCCCCUGUGGUGCCUAAACAGGUUCCCCACACUUGGCUAUCUCAAGUGGCCCUCAUAUACCAAGCCUUGCUUUAAGUCGUUAGAUUCUGCUCCUGAUAAGCUUAGUCUUGAGGAACACAGAAUUAUUGGGGGCAAUACUUGGUAGGACACACAAA